AUUGAACGCUGGCGGCAUGCCUUACACAUGCAAGUCGAACGGCAGCACGGGUGCUUGCACCUGGUGGCGAGUGGCGAACGGGUGAGUAAUACAUCGGAACAUGUCCUGUAGUGGGGGAUAGCCCGGCGAAAGCCGGAUUAAUACCGCAUACGAUCUACGGAUGAAAGCGGGGGACCUUCGGGCCUCGCGCUAUAGGGUUGGCCGAUGGCUGAUUAGCUGGUUGGUGGGGUAAAGGCCUACCAAGGCGACGAUCAGUAGCUGGUCUGAGAGGACGACCAGCCACACUGGGACUGAGACACGGCCCAGACUCCUACGGGAGGCAGCAGUGGGGAAUUUUGGACAAAGGGCGAAAGCCUGAUCCAGCAAUGCCGCGUGUGUGAAGAAGGCCUUCGGGUUGUAAAGCACUUUUGUCCGGAAAGAAAUCCUUGGCCCUAAUACGGUCGGGGGAUGACGGUACCGGAAGAAUAAGCACCGGCUAACUACGUG
rnacentral:rRNA from 1 species